rnacentral:lncRNA from 1 species
AUGGAAAAGGUAAUUUUUUUGCAAGAACUAAAAAUAGAGGAAAAGAGGGUUGAAAACUUGAUUGUGAACUGCGAAUUUCAACAAUCUUUUGCUACAAGAAAAAUCUUGAGGUAUGUAUACGAUAUAUUUUACUAUUACGUAAUGCUUAUAUUUUCUUUCAAUUUUUUUUGUUGAAGGUAGGAAAGAGUUGAAAAAAAGGAAAAGAAGAAAAAAUUCAAGAUAAUGGAAGAGACAUGUGUUAUAAAUACUUUUGAU